rnacentral:lncRNA from 1 species
GAGCCAAAGGCAGAAAGCUCAGCCAGCAGCCAAACGAAGCCUCAAGCAGUGGAUCCCACAGUGCAGCAACCUGGCAAAGGGGAUGCAGCAAGGAAAACAGCAAGGAAAACCACCGUCACCUCUCCGCUGGGAAGCGCUGAGCAAAGGCGAGUCCUCAGGCAACGCGGCCGAUUUGAUCGGCACAAGGCAUGCAAGCUCCACCCCCCAGUCAUUCUCAGACUCCUUAUUGGGUGAGCAAAGCAGCCAAGCAACACACUUGGAGCCUCCCUCCUCCCUGGCCGGCAGGGAGGGAGGGAGAGGAGCUGCUUCCUUUGAAACCCGGGAAAUUUAAGGGACAUCAUCAAUAAGGGACAGCAGCGGGACACAGUGCUGGGAUAAGGGACUUUCCCGCCAAAUAAGGCACGGUUGACAGUUAUGACAUGGGCUUAACGCUAUACUCUACAAGAGGAUUUCCUGUAGCUGAAACCUCCUUGUACACACCUCUCACCUUCUCGUAGAAAAACAGCUUAAGGCAGGGCUUGAGGACAUAUGGCUCUCCAGUAGCUGUUGGGGCUUCAACUCCUGUGACCAUCAGCCAUGCUGGUUGUGGAUGAUGGGAGUUGGAGCCCCAUUAACAAAAGGAAGGCUAGAGACUCCCUAUAUCUCACUGUGUUAAAGACACACAAGGGCAACUCCCAUUCACUUAAAUGAGGGACAGGAGAAGUUCGCUGUGGACACUGGGCCCCUUGUUAACCAGCGGAAGGGGCCACCACUUGGAUUUCCCAGAACCUCAGGCCUCAAAAUAUCUUGGGCCGGGACCACUGUGUUGAAUUCAUGACUUUUGAGGCCCUCGGGGCACAAUUUUCCAGAUUUCUUUUUUUUUCUUCUCCGGCUUCUGACUCAACACUUUUCCAGGUAAUUAUUUUUUUUUGCACCGCCACUGAGGAAAGAGAAACGCAAUUGAAUAGGCUCGGAAGGCAGGGCUGAAAUGGUUUUAUAACAAGCCCUCUUAUUUAUUUAUUUUAUUUUUGGCAGCUGAGGUAGGAGGGGAUGGCAGCAGCAGCAACAACAACGACAAAAAUCCGUCCAAGGGCCUCCAAAACACUGCGAGCAAAAGGAAAAAAAAUAUCCAAAACGAGAUUCUCUUUUUUUCUUUUUCUUUUAAAGGGACGCAUUGUUUUGUUUUCCUCUUUCCCUUCUUGGCUGAAACCUGAAAUGCUUUGGCUUGAGAGGAUAAGAUAAAGCUGUGCAGAUCAGCCGUUGGAGCCCUGGCUAUGAAUCAUUUGCUGCUGCUGCUGCUGUUGCCUUGCUCCCUGCCAAUCUCCCACCAUCCUAGGGAAAACUCAGGGAGUGCCUGGAAAUCACAGCGUUGUCUCUCCUCUCUCUCUCUCCGCUGUUGAAGUCCUCUCGGCAGUAAAAGCACCCCUGGAGCACCUCGGAGUUCAUCUGGCCUGCCGGCUGUCUUCUCUCUGGCUGGCAUUUCUUCCGCCACGCUCUAAUCCUGCACAGAUCUUGUGAUCAGGUAAUUCUCUCCUCUGCCCACUGGAUAUGACGCAGCAAAAUUAGUACUGGGGGUUUUUGGGUUGAGAAUGAGGGUGUGGGAAGCAGCUUUGGCCUGGCUGUGCUUAAUUUGCUUUCGUGACCUUGCUUAAGGGUAUUUUAAAAGCCUCCCAUUUAAAAGAACAGAGAGAGAAGAUGAAUAAGCAACUUUGCAGCUUCCCUUUCCCUUGUUGUCAAGGAAAAGCUGAACAGGCAGCUAUCACAGAACGAUAGGAAAUUCUCCCUUACUGCAGGGCCUCAAGUUUCAAGACCCAGUGGGCCUUUCCAAACGUAUCAGCAUGUUUACAUUACAUAACACGGUGAAUUCAAUAAUAAUAAUAAUAAUAAUAAUAUAAUUUUUUAUUUGUACCCCGUCCUCCCCGGCCGGAGCUGGGCUCAGGGCGGCUAACAUCAUAAAACUAACACAAAGAGCAUAAGAAUGUAAAAACAGGCAAUCAAUUAAUUAAAAUACAUCUUAAAAUUAGUUCAGAGCAAAUUGAAAUCUGGACAGAUGGCAGUCCAUGGGUAAAAUUGAGAGUGGUUAAUAUUCUCUAGGGUGAACUGUUACCACUGGUCUUAUAAAGGACCCAUGAACGGGCUAGGAGGACUCUUUAAUGCUUGUUCUUAUACAGAAAGAAAAGAAUCAGACUAAACCCCGACCAAAGGCCAGGCGGAACAGCUCCGUCUUGUAGGCCCUGCGGAAAGAUGUCAAAUCCCGCAGGGCCCUGGUCUCUUGUGAGAGAGCGUUCUACCAGGCUGGGGCCACGGCCGAAAAGGCCCUGGCUCUGGUCGAGGCCAGUCUAAUCUCCCUGGGGCCUGGGAUCUUCAGGGUGUUAUUAUCUGCAGACCUUAAGGUCCUCCGUGGGGCAUACCAGGAGAGGCUGUCCCAUAGGUACGAGGGUCCUAGGCUAGGAAAAUUAAACUGUCAAUAUCAUCAUGGUGAUAGAAAGGUAGAUAUGGGACAUGGUGGAAUGGUAUCCCAUGGGAGGUGGUGGACUCUCCUUCCAUGGAGGUUUUGAAGCAGAGGUUGGGUGACCAUCUGCCAUGGAUGCUUGAGCUGAGAUACCUGCAUUGUAGGGGGGUUGGAUUAGAUGACCGACCCUUGGGUUCCCUUCCAACUCUACAAUUCUGUGGUUCUAGUUUAACCAUCACGGUUGUUCCUCCACUACCUGGGGACAAGAUGGAGCCUUGAAGAACUUUGCUAGGGGGAACAUAGAUGCUCUGCAGAACUGCCAGCCGUCUGCACUGUGAUGGCCUGGGACUCAGGCUCGGACUCGGAACCAGAGGAGACUCAGUCUGCACCAGAUCCUUUGCCUUGGGCAUCAUCUGAACCAAGUCUGGGGCCUGAUCCUGAAGAGUCCCAGUCUGCACAGGUUCCCCUGCAACAAGCACCAGCUGGGCUGAGUCAGGGGCCUGAGCCUGGCUCCAGAUGUGGGGAUUACCUCGUUGCCUUCAGCUGGGCCAUCACUUACAUCUGCUCCACUACUGGUUUGGUCAGGGGAGGCUGAGGCAGCCCCUGGGUCUAGUAACCCACCGACGUCUCCCGAGCUGCAGAGACUAAGGUCUGAGAGAAGGAGAGACCUGAGUACUUGCAGGAGGAGUGCUUGCCUUCGGGUGAAACAGGGAGGUGAGUCGCCAGGGGAUCAGGACCGGCCGUUACCCCGACAAAGAUAAAAGGCUGUCGGACCCUGCCCCAGGUUGCGGGAGCAACAUUGCUGUAUUCUAGAUCCUGCCUGAGAUCCUGUACCUGUCCUUGCCUGGUUUCCUGCCUCGUGUCCUGCCUUGGCCCUGUCGGACUGACUCCCAGCAGAACCUUUGGAUUCUGGACCAGUCCUGGACCGUGUUUCACGGGUUACUCUCGGGCCCAGCACAUGCAUGCUCUAGGAUUGCCCUUCGAGGACAAAACAGAACCACACACUAGUUGGUUCCAUGAACACCUGCUAGGCCACCUAGCUGCAUACCCAACACCUCAUGUUCUGUCAACCGCAAUGAAAACCACUGAAAGUUCCAACCGGAUGAACAGAAUACAGUUUCCCACCAAGUACAGAUACAGACUCUAGUAAAAAGCAAACUCUCUGUUUACUACCCGAUUGCAGGAGAAAUCGGUCUUCUUCAUCUGGGCCCAGGAUGUCAGUAAUGCUUAGGCUGGAACCUUAUCCAAAUUGUUUGGGGUGGCAAACCAUUACACACUUAUCUGGGAAUUAGUCUCAUUGAACUCAGUGGGACUUAUUUCUGCUGAGGCAUGCAUAUGCUUUUGUGCUGCCAGUUUGGUGCAAAUUAUUGAAAACAAUUCUCCUGAAAUGGGUGGGGUGAAAAUUAUACUUUUUUUUAUAGGUGGUGCAUACACCACAGCAGAAAUCAUCACAGGGAAAAAUGCAUUCCCUGUCCCAGUUUAAGGGGAAGUGGACUGAGGGAAGCAACUACUUUUUAGUCCAUAUUGGAUCAGGUAAAACCAUACAUAUCUCUGGCUCUCACACACUUCCCAAAUCUAGUAUGUUCCAGAUGUUGUUCAACUUAAUAUCUGACCAUUUGCUAUACUGGCUGGGGCUGAUGAGAAUUUGAGUCCAAAACCCAUGAGGGGCACCAGGUUGGGGAAUGCUGAUCCUAAGUGCUUUUGUGGAAAAGAUUCAGGGAUUAAAUACAGCACCUACAGUCCAAUCCUAUAUAUGCCUACUCUGAAACAAGCCCAAUUGAAUUCAGUGAGGCUUACUCCCAGGUAAAUGGGUAAAGGACUGCAAACUUGGGGUCACUCUUUUGCUGUAAGGAGAUUGGACAAAAAUGGUUCUUCCCUCUAACUGUCCAAAGUCCAGCACUGACUUGUAUUGAAGAAGACUGAAUAUCUUAUUAGCGGCAGGGAUCUACAGCCGCGCCUGCCAAAAAUAUGAAAAUAUGAAAAAGUCAUGUAAUGUGAUAGUCUCAUUUCUCCCACUAAUAACAUACUCAGUCUUCCUCAGUGCCAACCGCCAAUACAUCUGCCAUAAUGUAUACACAUUUUAAAUGGAAAAAUAACGAUGUUAUUUGCUGUCACAGGGGCGCAGAACGAGGAAUCUUGCUGAUAGGGUUCAGCAUGGUUCUCUUCAUGAGGUUUAUUUGUGUUUAUGUGUUGUUAUGUGACUUGAUGCAAUUAGGGUUAUGGGCUGAAUCAACACGAAAUUGCCCGACCUAGUUCCACUUGGCCUCUUUGUUUGCUCAGCAGAUAUGGGGUCAAGUCAAUGCAAGCAGAACGUUGGCGUGGUAGAGUUGAGAGCGCGAUCCGAGAUGUCUGCAAUGGCCUUCCUUGCAGCUUUUGAGGCCUGCACAAUGGCAGCCUCUUUGCUUACGGCCCAGCAGCUGAAGAUCUGGAGGGAGAAAGAGAGAGAUUCUGACUCCACCAAGCAGUUUAGGAAGUGGACCACCUCUCCCCUUUCAACACAUUAUUUCAGCAGAGCAGAGUCAACUUCAGCACCACUGUAGGAACAGCAACAGCGCGACUGAUCUCCCGCACAGAUCAGCCGACCCUCGCCCCAUACGCUUUCCGCAGCACAGAGAUUUCGGCAAGCAAGAUUUCUGUCCGCUGUGUUUCCCAAGCUUUUGAUACUUGGGGCAUCUUUUUAAAAUAUGGAGGAAAAUUUGAGGCAUGCCUACGCUCAGAAAGAUGCACGCAGAUUUUCCUCAACCCUCUCUCUUCAUCCUUGCUACUAGGGGAAAGUUGUCUUCUCCUUACUAAUCAGUCAAGGCUCAGGGAUGAGGCAGUGCUUUCUGGGCAGGUGAGAUGCUUCGGAGAUUCUCUCACGCCUUUCAGUUGCACUGGAAAUCCAAGUGACACUCCCCAUAUACUGGCAAGAGGCUAGGGAGGGAAUCAGGCCUAGUUUUUCCAACGAUUGUACUGCUGUGAGUGAAUUAUGACAAGCCAGCUUAGUUUUUCGAGUCACAUUUUUUUACUCCUCUUGCAUCUCUGAGUUCCCCAGCACAGAAUUUGGGAAUGGGAAUGUCUUAGUGGGUGCGAGAGAAUGUGCUGGGUGCUUGGAAAAAGUAGGGUUCAGAAAUAACAAUACGUUAAGUGG